UACGAAGGGGGCUAGCGUUGCUCGGAAUGACUGGGCGUAAAGGGCGCGUAGGCGGUUUGUCUCGUUAGGCGUGAAAUUCCUGGGCUUAACCUGGGGGCUGCGCUUAAUACAGGCAGACUUGAGUUCGGAAGAGGGUCGUGGAAUUCCCAGUGUAGAGGUGAAAUUCGUAGAUAUUGGGAAGAACACCGGUGGCGAAGGCGGCGACCUGGUCCGAUACUGACGCUGAGGCGCGAAAGCGUGGGGAGCAAACAGG
rnacentral:rRNA from 1 species